rnacentral:rRNA from 1 species
AGANUNANCGNGNCNGGNUUANUCGNGUNCNUNCGGGGGCAGCAGCAGGGAAUCUUGCCAAUGGGCGAAAGCCUGACGCAGCAACGCCGCGUGGGGGAUGAAGGCCUUCGGGUUGUAAACCCCUUUCAGGAGGGAAGAAAUUGACGGUACCUCCAGAAGAAGCCCCGGCCAACUACGUGCCAGCAGCCGCGGUAAUACGUAGGGGGCGAGCGUUGUCCGGAAUUAUUGGGCGUAAAGAGCUCGUAGGCGGCUCAGCAAGUCGGCUGUGAAAUCCCGAGGCUCAACCUCGGAACUGCAGUCGAUACUGCUGUGGCUAGAGUCUGGUAGAGGAGAGUGGAAUUCCCGGUGUAGCGGUGAAAUGCGCAGAUAUCGGGAGGAACACCAGUAGCGAAGGCGGCUCUCUGGGCCAGUACUGACGCUGAGGAGCGAAAGCGUGGGGAGCAAACAGGAUUAGAUACCCUGGUAGUCCACGCCGUAAACGUUGGGUACUAGGUGUGGCGUCCCGAUCAACGGAUGCCGUGCCGAAGCUAACGCAUUAANUNCGCCG